GUGUCAGCCGCCGCGGUAAGACAGAGGGUGCAAACGUUGUUCGGAAUUACUGGGCGUAAAGCGCGUGUAGGCGGCUCGGCAAGUCGGGUGUGAAAGCCCUGGGCUUAACCUAGGAAGUGCACUCGAAACUGCCAAGCUUGAGUUCUGGAGAGGAAGGCGGAAUUCUCGGUGUAGAGGUGAAAUUCGUAGAUAUCGAGAGGAACACCGGUGGCGAAGGCGGCCUUCUGGACAGCAACUGACGCUGAGACGCGAAAGCGUGGGGAGCAAACAGGAUUAGAAACCCCCGUAGUCC
rnacentral:rRNA from 1 species